GCGGCUAGACGGAAAGACCCCGUGAACCUUUACUACAGCUUGGCACUGAACAUUGAACCUACAUGUGUAGGAUAGGUGGGAGGCUAUGAAGACGUGACGCUAGUUGCGUUGGAGCCGUCCUUGAAAUACCACCCUUGUAUGUUUGAUGUUCUAACUUAGACCCAUUAUCUGGGUUGAGGACAGUGCCUGGUGGGUAGUUUG
rnacentral:rRNA from 1 species